GUGUUCGCUUCGGCAGCACGUAUACUAAAAUUGAAACGAUACAGAGAAGAUUAGCACGGCCCCUGCGCAAGGAUGACACGCAAAUUCGUGAAGCGU
rnacentral:snRNA from 1 species